GAGUUUGAUCCUGGCUCAGAACGAACGCUGGCGGCAGGCCUAACACAUGCAAGUCGAACGCCCCGCAAGGGGAGUGGCAGACGGGUGAGUAACGCGUGGGAAUCUACCGUACCCUACGGAAUAACGCAUGGAAACGUGUGCUAAUACCGUAUACGCCCUACGGGGGAAAGAUUUAUCGGGGUAUGAUGAGCCCGCGUUGGAUUAGCUAGUUGGUGGGGUAAAGGCCUACCAAGGCGACGAUCCAUAGCUGGUCUGAGAGGAUGAUCAGCCACAUUGGGACUGAGACACGGCCCAAACUCCUACGGGAGGCAGCAGUGGGGAAUAUUGGACAAUGGGCGCAAGCCUGAUCCAGCCAUGCCGCGUGAGUGAUGAAGGCCCUAGGGUUGUAAAGCUCUUUCACCGAUGAAGAUAAUGACGGUAGUCGGAGAAGAAGCCCCGGCUAACUUCGUGCCAGCAGCCGCGGUA
rnacentral:rRNA from 1 species